rnacentral:lncRNA from 1 species
UGAUCAGAGAAGGUUUCUUUGAGGGUGACAUUUGAGCAAAGACGUGAAUAAAGAGACAGUUGGAGCCAUGUGGAGAUGUGAGGAGGAGGGUUCCAGGCCAGGGGACCCGUACGUGCCAAGGCCCUGAGAGCACACAAUUUAACCCAGGACAGCAGGGAGACAGCACCCCAGGCCGAGUGAAGGGGAGGACCGCACAGGCAAACGGUGAGCACCCAGGCAGGGGACGGCUGUGGCUCUUGGGCCCUUUCUUCCUGCAAACCUUCCUCGUGAAGAAAAGAAUGAAGCCGAGUUCUGUAGGACAUGGGGAGAAAGAGGCCCUGAUCCGCCCCAGUCCAGCUGAAAGCCUUCUCCCUGCAAAUUGCCAACUCUCCCCACGACCUCCGUCCCCACCUCACUUCCCUCGCUCCCUCCUUGCGGUUCAGGCAGCCAGACCCUCUUAUCACUCACACACACAGCUUCCUUUUUAGCCCAAAGGUCGUUAUUUUAACACCUGUUGGGAAAACAAGCAGGUUACUCCCAGGGGGUAGGGAAGAGGAGGGAAGAGGGGAGAUGCUAUUUGUAGGGCUGACACCUGCCCCCUGCCCCUCAAAGCAAGGCAGGAGCAGAAGCAGGGGCCAGGCACGCCUCUCCCCUGUUUCCUGACCUCUGGAGCCACUCUAACUCCAGCUGCCUUCACUGCUUAACAAACCAGCCCCAAACUUAGCCACUUAAAACAACAGCCGCCACUUAUCUGCUCAGAAUUCUGCAAUUUGGGCAGGAUCAGGCAUCGUGGUGGUCCCCACCCCACGUGUGUUAUCUGGGGGGCUCAGCUGGGGCUGGAUGGCCCAGCACGGCAUCACCCACAUUGUUUAGCACUGGAGCUGGGUACACUCUUCUCUCUCCCCUUGUAACUCAUCUCCCAGGCUUCACUCUGUCCCUGCGGUCUCUCCCUCUUCUAGAACCUGGCCUGAGCUACUUUGCGGGCCAGCUGGAUUCCAAGAGAGAGAAAAUAGAAGUCGCCAGGUCUCUUAAGGCUUAAUCCAGAACUGCAGGGAGUCACCUCCACAGCAUCCCGGGGGUCAAAGGAUUCACAGAGCCUGCCCACUUUCAAGGGGUGGGGACACAGACUCCACCUCCCAUGGGAGAGGUUGCAGGCCCCUGCAGGGAGGGGGAGCACUGCUGGCAGCCAUCUUUGCAGGCAACCCUCACACUCUUCCAUUUGGCCUCCAGCUGGCCUGGCGAGGCACCAGAGGCUGUAGAGGAAAGCGCCUCCCACCUGUGAGAUGCCAACAAGAUACCCAGGGUCUGAAGAGUCUUAAAAGAAAAGCAAGGAGCGGGGGUAUGAUAUCCGACCAAAGAGCAAACGCCCGAGCCACUUGGCACUGCACUCUAACUGGGAGGCUGAGCACACAAAUUAGAUGUUUGUAAGAAUAAACAGUCAUUAGAACUCGAGAACUAGAGGAGAAAUAAACAUCAUUUCAAGAUAUUUGACUAAUUUGGCUCUGAGCUCUGCCUGCCUGUGAAUGUGCUGGUUUCUGGCUUGCGGGGAUGCCUGUGUAUCUGUGCAUGCUUCUUGUUAGCCCUCUUGGUUACGUGUCCUUACUGAGUGCCAAAGUCUCCUCUGUAAAAUGGGGAUAACAGCAACACCCAACUCAAGGGUGUUGGGAGAGUGGAACAAGGAAAUACACACAAAUUGAUUAAAACAGAGCCUGGCACCUAUAGUAAGUGCUCAAGAAAUGUGAGCAAUACUCUACAUUUGCUCACAUAUUCAUUCGUUCAGCAAAUAUGCAGAGGGUCCCAGCCAGGGGAGGCCCUGUUCCUAGUGUUAGGGAUCAAAAGACAGUGAGAUUCCUCGUGCCAGCUGAUGCCAGGCACACGGUGGGCGCCCAGGAACAGAUUUUU